ensembl:lncRNA
AAUUUCACAGGAUUGUCAGUAAGAUGGAUGUUGGAGAGUGAGUAACUUGCUGGAGAUUGAAAUCAUUCUGACAUGUGGCAUAUUGAUCUCAUUACUGGGUCAACCGCUUUAAGUUUCUUCAAGAAGCCCUGAUGCAAGUAAAAGCACUUUAAUCCAAGCCCAGCAGUAUCUGAUUGACCAUCUGAAGGAGCUCUGUUGAAACAUUUUGGAGGUGGGGCACAACCAACGCAACCAGGCCCAAGUGCCAGUGUUACAGCUGAUGAUACAGCAGAUCCAGCCUCUGCAGGUGAGGAGCACUUACUAGCAUCUGCAUCCA